CGAAGCGAAGCAGUGAUGUGAAGCAAAUCGCACCAAAGCCGGUCCCAGUUCGGAUAAGAGGCUGAAACUCGCCUCUUUGAAGUCGGAAUCGCUAGUAAUCGCAGAUCAGCAUGUUGCGGUGAAUACGUUCCCGGGUCUUGUACACACCGCCCGUCAAGCCAUGGGAGCCGGGGGUGCUUGAAGUGCGUCGCCGCAAGGCGCGCCCUAGAGCAAAACCGGUGACUGGGGCUAAGUCGUAACAAGGUAGC
rnacentral:rRNA from 1 species